ACAGAAAUUUCUAUUGACUCUCACCAUGGCGUGGGCCCUGUUUCUCCUCACAGUUCUUAGUUACUACUCAGGUGUCACUUCCGUAUCACCUUGGAGUCAGCCUGCCUCAGCAUCUGCGUCCCCGGGACAAACAGCCAAAAUCUCCUGCUCUACUGACAGUGGAACAUACGCCAUUUCUUGGUAUCAACAGAACCCUGGACAGGCCCCCCGCUAUGUCCAUUAUCCAGGAGGCAGCAGGGGAGACGGGAUCCCGGAUCGAUUCACGGCUUCUGCUUCUGGCAGCACUGGCUACUUAACCAUCACCAACAUCCAGUCUGAAGAUGAGGCAGUUUAUUACUGUGGCAAGUGGGAGAGGAGCGGUAGCACGUUCCACAGUGUUCUCACCUACUGCUCAGGUGUCAGUUCCCAACCAACUCUGACUCAGCCACCGUUGCAAUCUGUUCCCCAGAGACAAACGGCCAAACUCUCCUGCACCGUCAGCAGCAGCAUGCACAACAUUUACUGGUGUCAGCAGAGAGCUGGGCAGGCCCCUCGCUAUGUCCAUUGUGCUGGUGGCAGCAGGGGGGAAGGGAUCCUGGAUCGGUUCACAGCUUCUGUCUCCGGGAAUGUUGGCUAUUUAACCACCACCAAUGUCCAGGAUGAAGAUGAGGCUAACUAUUACUGUGACAUGUGGUACGGCAGCCCUCCGUAG